CAACAGCCCUGGCCCAGGAGAACUCUAUGCAGCCCCCAAGGACGACGGCUUCAGCUCAGUGAUGCCGAACCUUUUAGACCUUUGAGUGCCAACGCAGGCGGCUGCAGCAUGUGUGCCAGGGCUCCCACCACUGCCCUCCCUCGGAUUAAUCCUUGGCCCAUGUGCUGGCCAAUAUCCUGGCACCAGAGCUUCCUGCCUUUCUUUGGGUUUUGCUUCUUCCCAUCCCAGAAGUCUACCAGGCAACUAGCAUCAAUCAUUUAUAACAAAUGGAAUCUGCUCCCCAAAGAGGAGACAAGGAAGGACAACUCCCACAUGCUCGCUGGCCAGGACUGCAUAUUUCCAGAAUUUUCUCAAAGAACAUACAGAAAGGCAGAGAUAAGAAGAAGGGCCCAAAAGAAUCUUAUUCUCAGCGUUAAAAUGGCAUCAGGAAAUCAAAGACAACUAGAAAGCUGUUUUCACAACAUCUGAGUCCUCUUCAGACGUCACUGCGCCAGAGACAGUACAACGGCAUCAUCCUUCCUGGCUCACGGCAUGAAGGGGUUAAGAGGCAGACCGCGCUCAGACGCCCACCACCCCACACUCGCAGCUCCCAGGCUGGGAGCCUCCCCACCCUUCCCCACUCUUCCCAGAGAGCAGGGCUCCUUCUCCA
rnacentral:lncRNA from 1 species